rnacentral:rRNA from 1 species
CAAUAAGCGGAGGAAAAGAAACCAACAGGGAUUACCUUAGUAGCGGCGAAGCGAAGCGGUAAGAAGCUCAAAUUUGAAAUCUGGCUUCGGCCCGAGUUGUAAUUUGAAGAUUGUGUUUUGGACUUAGGGCCCUUGUUUAUGUUCCUUGGAACAGGACGUCACAGAGGGUGAGAAUCCCGUGCAACGAGGUCUGUCCUAGCCCGUGUAAAACACUUUCUAAGAGUCGAGUUGUUUGGGAAUGCAGCUCUAAGUGGGUGGUAAAUUCCAUCUAAGGCUAAAUAUUGGCGAGAGACCGAUAGCGAACAAGUACAGUGAUGGAAAGAUGAAAAGCACUUUGAAAAGAGAGUGAAAAAGUACGUGAAAUUGUUGAAAGGGAAGGGCAUGAGAUCAGACUUGGCUGUCCGGCGAUCAACCUCCCCCAGCGGGGGGUGCACUUGCCGGUAGCUGGGCCAGCAUCAGUUUUGGCGGCAGCACAAUCGCACGGGAACGUGGCUCGGGCCCUCUGGGUCUGAGUGUUAUAGCCCGUUGUGGAUACUGCCAGCCGGGACUGAGGACUGCGGUGUAUACCAAGGAUGCUGGCGUAAUGAUCCCAUGCCGCCCGUCUUGAAACAUGGACCAAGGAGUCUAACGCCUAUGCGAGUAUUUGGGUGUCAAACCCUUGUGCGCAAUGAAAGUGAACGUAGAUAGGAGCCCCUCGGGGUGCACUAUCGACCGAUCCUGACGUAUUCUGAAGGAUUUGAGUAAGAGCAUAGUUGUUGGGACCCGAAAGAUGGUGAACUAUGCCUGAAUAGGGUGAAGUCAGAGGAAACUCUGAUGGAAGCUACGUAGCGGUUUCUGACGUGCAAAUCGAUUCGUCGAAUUUGGGUAUAGGGGCGAAAGACUAAUCGAA